rnacentral:rRNA from 1 species
GGAUGAACGCUGGCGGCGCGCUUAAGACAUGCAAGUCGAACGGAACUUAGCCGAAUGUUUACAUGAGGCGAAAGUUUAGUGGCAGACGGGUGAGUAACACGUGGGUAACCUACCUUCAAGCUGGGGAUAACGUUUGGAAACGAACGCUAAUACCGAAUAAGAUAUAGCAAUAUAUUGAAAGAAGCCUUUAAAGCUUCACUUAAAGAUGGGCCUGCGGCGUAUUAACUAGUUGGUGAGGUAAUGGCUCACCAAGGUAACGAUGCGUAGCCGAACUGAGAGGUUGAACGGCCACACUGGGACUGAGACACGGCCCAGACUCCUACGGGAGACAGCAGUUAGGAAUAUUCGUCAAUGGGGGAAACCCUGAACGAGCAAUGCCGCGUGAGUGAUGAAGGCCCUAUGGGUUGUAAAGCUCUGUUGUAUGGGAAGAACGGCCAUAUUAGGAAAUGAAUAUGGAGUGACGGUACCAUACCAGAAAGCUCCGGCUAACUACGUG